UCCGGAGGAUCCAAGCGUUAUCCGGAAUCAUUGGGUUUAAAGGGUCCGUAGGCGGUUUAGUAAGUCAGUGGUGAAAGCCCAUCGCUCAACGGUGGAACGGCCAUUGAUACUGCUAGACUUGAAUUAUUAGGAAGUAACUAGAAUAUGUAGUGUAGCGGUGAAAUGCUUAGAGAUUACAUGGAAUACCAAUUGCGAAGGCAGGUUACUACUAAUGGAUUGACGCUGAUGGACGAAAGCGUGGGUAGCGAACAGG
rnacentral:rRNA from 1 species